AUUGAACGCUGGCGGCAGGCCUAACACAUGCAAGUCGAACGAGUGGCGGACGGGUGAGUAAUGUCUGGGAAACUGCCCGAUGGAGGGGGAUAACUACUGGAAACGGUAGCUAAUACCGCAUACCAUCGGAUGUGCCCAGAUGGGAUUAGCUAGUAGGUGGGGUAACGGCUCACCUAGGCGACGAUCCCUAGCUGGUCUGCGAGGAUGACCAGCCACACUGGAACGUCGCCACGGUCCCGCCUCCUACGGGAGUCAGCAGGGGGGAAUAGUGCACAAUGGGCGCAAGCCUGAUGCAGCCAUGCCGCGUGUAUGAAGAAGGCCUUCGGGUUUGAAAGUACUUUCAGCGAGGAGGCGUUACUCGCAGAAGAAGCACCGGCUAACUCCGUGCCAGCAGCCGCGGUAAUUC
rnacentral:rRNA from 1 species